UUUUUUUUGCCCUCGCGAGGCCUUCUGGGUAACGUAGUUUCCCCGUACUACUCUCGGAGAUUUCUGGAUAAUGUAGUUUUAUAAGCCUGCCUGGUUACUUCUGCGCGUCAAGGGCUGGUUAUAAAGUUCGGUGAUGAAGCCUAGAAUCAUAAAUGCUUUUUUUUUCCUCCUUUUUUAAACGAGGACCAUCACUAUCUCUUUUAUAUGUGGAAGAGAAAGCGGACAAUCGGAUUAAAGGCGGACCCCCAAGAGGGAAGCAACAUUUCGUUUCCUUUGUUUUGCAGCUUUUCAGGUUUAGACAACAGCUGGCAGGAGAAGCCAGGCUGAAAGCCCUUUAAGUGUCAGCAGCAUCUUCGAGCCGGGCAAGAACCCCAAAGGGUCGACAAAGCUGACAAAAGAGGUGGCUACCGCAGUUCUCUUUUUCAUUCAGGGUCCUAUAAGGAGUUGGGAAACGUAUACAAGUAGUCCUCAAUUUACAACAGUUCAUUUCAUGACUGUUCAAAGUUACAAAGGCACUGGAAAAAUGUGAUUUAGGGCUGUUUUUCACACACACUUACAACGUUGCAGCCUCCCCAUUGUUCACUACGUAAUUUUGUUACAUUUCGUAUUCUACAACAUUAUUUAAAAUUAAUUUUCAAGCUAAUUUAUUUCCUUCAACUUAACUCAAAUGUUUAAGCAGAACUGGGCUUUUAUCUUUUUAUAUUGUAGAUAUGACUCAGGCCAUUCACCACAGGAUUAUAGAUUAUUUCCCCCAAAAUAACUUGAACAGAAAAAUAAACUGCUUGGAAACUAUGAAUCAUUCAUCAAUUCUUGACGUUUGAUUGGGGACUUUAACAUAGGAUUCAUGGAUUCUACCAAUCAGCUGAUAUUAUGCAUAUGAUAUUAUUCUGGCUUCUAUUGAACAUUUACGUCUUCCAUAGAAUAAAACACAGCAGGAUGGUUAAAAAAGUCAAGAUGCAGCUCUGACGGUACCAUUGAGGUUCUGCCUGUUUUUAUGUGCUUUGUUCAACAAUGCAACCAUUAGUGGCAUCCAUUAGUUAUAAUGACAUUUUACCAACUGGUUUAUCGCCCAAAACUGACAUCUGUUGACCUGUGUUCUGCUCAGCAUCAUCAGUGCAGUUUUCAGUAGCUUCAACAAGGAGGAACAGAUCUCACCAUCUCAUCACAGCCAAGACCUUGAAAUUUUUGGCUGUAAUCUAGAUUACAGCCAAAUGAAAAUUGUAGUAAACUGCAGUAAUGGAAGUUUCCUGGAAUUUUAAUGUGCUUGGGAACAUUAUCUUGGUACAUAAUAACACAAUAUAAUAUCUUGUUAAUAGUAUCAUAAUGAAGAGAUACUGUUACACAAUAAUAUAUAAAAAAAAUUAUGGGCUGUAAGAGGAGGUUUUUUUUCACUAAUGGGAUAGAUACUCUGUUUCCCCCAAAAUAAGACACCUCAUGAUAAUAAGCUCAAUCGGGCUUUUGAGCGCAUGGCAAUAAGGUCAAACGCUUAUUUCAGAGUUCAAAAAAAUAUAAGACAGGGUCUUAUUUUUGGAGAAACACAGAAAGUAUAAGUUUAUCUUUUAACUUUUGAAUAUUGUUAUUACUGAAUAAUAAAUAUAUUUUUUUUUAAUUUGAUUUAUAUGCCGCCCUUCUCCGGAGACUCAGGGCGGCUUACAAUGUGCUAAGCAAUAUCCUUCAUCCUUUUGUAAAUUUUUACAAAGUCAGCUUAUUGUCCCCACAAACUGGGUCCUUGUUUGGCAAUUGGAAAGAAAAUAAUUAAUAGCUGAUGUAAAAUAUACUUACCUUAUAUACAGAAAAUGGAUCAUUUUUUUGUUCAGGGUGAACUACAAUCUGAUUUGACAAUGAACAAAUGGUUAUUAUUGAUCAUUGAACAUUAUAUUAUUUGUUCUGUAGUUAGGUAAAUGAAAUUUGCUAAUCCUUUUCUACUGUUUUUAUAUGUAAGGAACUUAUUUUGAUGCAAGUGAGCAAUGUUAAUAAUGAGUAUGUUCAUGAAUUAUUGCUUUCCAAGAUGAGUUUUGCUGAUGGCUUCUCAUGAGUAAAGCUGCAAAUAAAUCAAAUUUUAACAGGGCU